AAGUCAAGGCUGGGGCAUUUUUUGAAAAAAUUCUUGAACAUCUCCCAUGCCUCAGGGUAGCUCUCUAAAUCUUUUUGCUUGAAAGUGUGGACUUCAUUCCUUAUUU
rnacentral:snoRNA from 1 species